rnacentral:lncRNA from 1 species
AAACAGUGAGUGGCUUCUCUUGAUUAAAAUUGGACGGUUGGAUGGUAGGGGAAGCAUAGAUAUUCUAUGUUGUAGGGGAAGUAUAGAAACCUUUCUUUUUUAAAAAUAGGCUUUGAGGAUAGUAAAGAUUGAGAUUUUAGAGAUAAAAAGAGAUAAUGAGUUUUUAAAGAGAAAAAUAGAGAACGAGUUUAUAGGGGAGAAAGAGAAAUUGGGUUUCUAGAAAUAGUUUUUAGAGAGAAAAAUAGAGAUUGGAUUUGUAAAGAGAGUUUUUACAGAGAUAUUGGGUUUCUAUAGAGAGUUUUUAAAGAGAAACAGAAAAACUAAGUUUAUAACGAACAAGUAGAGGUUUUAGAGAGAGAUCGAGGAUACCCAAAUGAGCUGCAAAUGCUUGGAUGCUGGCA